GACGAACGCUGGCGGCGUGCUUAACACAUGCAAGUCGAACGGAAAGGCCCUGCUUUUGUGGGGUGCUCGAGUGGCGAACGGGUGAGUAACACGUGAGUAACCUGCCCUUGACUUUGGGAUAACUUCAGGAAACUGGGGCUAAUACCGGAUAGGAGCUCCUGCUGCAUGGUGGGGGUUGGUAAGUUUCGGCGGUUGGGGCUGGACUCGCGGCUUACCAGCUUGUUGGUGGGGUAGUGGCUUACCAAGGCUUUGACGGGUAGCCGGCCUGAGAGGGUGACCGGCGACAUUGGGACUGAGAUACGGCCCAGACUCCAACGGGAGGCAGCAGUGGGGAAUAUUGCACAGUGGGCGGAAGCCUGAUGCAGCAACGCCGCGUGCGGGAUGACGGCCUUCGGGUUGUAAACCGCUUUCGCCUGUGACGAAGCGUGAGUGACGGUAAUGGGUAAAGAAGCACCGGCUAACUACGUG
rnacentral:rRNA from 1 species